AAUAAUUUCAUGCCACAUCAGUACUUUUAUCCUGAAUUUCAAGAUUUUAUCCUGAAAAAAAUCAAAUCAAAAUUAAAAUACUGAAAUUUAGGAUAAGAAUACUGAUGUGGCAUAAAACUAUU
rnacentral:pre_miRNA from 1 species